rnacentral:rRNA from 1 species
GGCCAGCAUCGAUUCGGAUGGUAAGAUAAUGACAGUUGAACGUGGCUCCAUUCGUGGAGUGUUAUAGCUUCUGUUGAUAUUGCCUGUCUGGAUCNAGGGCUNCGUCUUUUGACUAGGAUGCUGGCGUAAU